rnacentral:rRNA from 1 species
CCUACGGGUGGCAGCAGUGAGGAAUAUUGGUCAAUGGACGAGAGUCUGAACCAGCCAAGUAGCGUGAAGGAUGACUGCCCUAUGGGUUGUAAACUUCUUUUAUAAAGGAAUAAAACGAGGCACGUGUGCCUUUUUGCAUGUACUUUAUGAAUAAGGAUCGGCUAACUCCGUGCCAGCAGCCGCGGUAAUACGGAGGAUCCGAGCGUUAUCCGGAUUUAUUGGGUUUAAAGGGAGCGUAGAUGGGUUGUUAAGUCAGUUGUGAAAGUUUGUGGCUCAACCGUAAAAUUGCAAUUGAUACUGGCAGUCGUGAGUACAGUUGAGGUAGGCGGAAUUCGUGGUGUAGCGGUGAAAUGCUUAGAUAUCACGAAGAACCCCGAUUGCGAAGGCAGCUUACUAAACUGUGACUGACAUUGAUGCUCGAAAGUGUGGGUAUCAAACAGGAUUAGAUACCCCAGUAGUC